rnacentral:rRNA from 1 species
UAGUCCACGCUGUAAACGAUGAGUGCAAGGUGUUGGGGGUCAAACCUCGGUGCCGCCGUUAACACAGUAAGCACUCCGCCUGGGGAGUACGUACGCAAGUAUGAAACUCAAAGGAAUUGACGGGGACCCGCACAAGUAGCGGAGCAUGUGGUUUAAUUCGAAGCAACGCGAAGAACCUUACCAGGGCUUGACAUGUAGGUGAAGCGGCGGAAACGUCGUUGCCGAAAGGAGCCUACAC